AAAAACCUCGACUUCGGAAGGGGUGUAUUUAUUAGAUAAAAAACCAAUGCCUUUCGGGGCUACUUGGUGAUUCAUAAUAACUUAACGAUUCGCAUGGCUUGUGCCGGCGAUGGUUCAUUCAAAUUUCUGCCCUAUCAACUUUCGAUGGUAGGAUAGUGGCCUACCAUGGUUUUCAACGGGUAACGGGGAAUUAGGGUUCUAUUCCGGAGAGGGAGCCUGAGAAAACGGCUGCCACAUCCAAGGAAGGCAGCAGGCGCGCAAAUUACCCAAUCCCGACACGGGGAGGUAGUGACAAUAAAUACUGAUACAGGGCUCUUUUGGGUCUUGUAAUUGGAAUGAGUACAAUUUAAAUCCCUUAACGAGGAACAAUUGGAGGGCAAGUCUGGUGCCAGCAGCCGCGGUAAUUCCAGCUCCAAUAGCGUAUAUUAAAGUUGUUGCAGUUAAAAAGCUCGUAGUUGAACCUUGAGCCUGGCUGGCCGGUCCGCCUCACCGCGUGCACUGGUCCGGCCGGGUUUUUCCUUCUGGGGAGCCGCAUGCCCUUCACUGGGUGUGUCGGGGAACCAGGACUUUUACUUUGAAAAAAUUAGAGUGUUCAAAGCAGGCCUAUGCUCGAAUACAUUAGCAUGGAAUAAUAGAAUAGGACGUGUGGUUCUAUUUUGUUGGUUUCUAGGACCGCCGUAAUGAUUAAUAGGGAUAGUCGGGGGCAUCAGUAUUCAAUUGUCAGAGGUGAAAUUCUUGGAUUUAUUGAAGACUAACUACUGCGAAAGCAUUUGCCAAGGAUGUUUUCAUUAAUCAGUGAACGAAAGUUAGGGGAUCGAAGACGAUCAGAUACCGUCGUAGUCUUAACCAUAAACUAUGCCGACUAGGGAUCGGGCGAUGUU
rnacentral:rRNA from 2 species